rnacentral:rRNA from 1 species
ACGAACGCUGGCGGCGUGCCUAAUACAUGCAAGUCGAACGAACCGCGACUGAGUGCUUGCACUUGGUCAAGGUGAGUGGCGAACGGGUGAGUAACACGUGGGUAACCUACCUCAUAGUGGGGGAUAACAGUCGGAAACGACUGCUAAUACCGCAUAGGACAUAGGAUCACAUGAUCCAGUGAGGAAAGGUGGCGCAAGCUAUCGCUAAGAGAUGGACCCGCGGUGCAUUAGCUAGUUGGUAGGGUAAAGGCCUACCAAGGCGAUGAUGCAUAGCCGACCUGAGAGGGUGAUCGGCCACAUUGGGACUGAGACACGGCCCAAACUCCUACGGGAGGCAGCAGUAGGGAAUCUUCCGCAAUGGACGCAAGUCUGACGGAGCAACGCCGCGUGAGUGAAGAAGGUCUUCGGAUCGUAAAGCUCUGUUGUUAGAGAAGAACAGCGCAUAGAGUAACUGCUAUGCGUGUGACGGUAUCUAACCAGAAAGCCACGGCUAACUACGUG